GUCUGUAUGUAGAUCAGACAACAGGAGAGAGAGAGAGAGGUAGUCUGUAUGUAGAUCAGACAACAGGAGAGAGAGAGAGAGGUAGUCUGUAUGUAGAUCAGACAACAGGAGAGAGAGAGAGAGGUAGUCUGUAUGUAGAUCAGACAACAGGAGAGAGAGAGAGAGGUAGUCUGUAUGUAGAUCAGACAACAGGAGAGAGAGAGAGGUAGUCUGUAUGUAGAUCAGACAACAGGAGAGAGAGAGAGGUAGUCUGUAUGUAGAUCAGACAACAGGAGAGAGAGAGAGAGGUAGUCUGUAUGUAGAUCAGACAACAGGAGAGAGAGAGAGGUAGUCUGUAUGUAGAUCAGACAACA